CCGCUUCAAAUUAAGAAGUAGACUGAGAAGCGGCAACAGCAUGGAGGUGACAUUUAAUCUCAAGAUCUACCCACUGCUGUUGCUCAACAUUAGCUUGGCCCUUUCAAAGAACACAAGCAUGUUCUGGGCAUCUACUUUUUUUAUAUACAUAAUCUCGCUUAAUCCUCACAAGUGAGAUUUAUACAGCAGCCUCUCUUGCAGAAGCACAGUUCACGCAGAACAUGUGCAUGUGGCAGAAACAUCGGCGAUGGGCAAAAUCUGCUAAUGGAUUGAACCUAGAGGAAAGAACCAGCAAAGCCAAGUCAUGAUUCUAGAUCCACCACAAGAUCAUUUGUGCUCAGUUUCCCUUAAAAUGCAAUAGACAACAUUAAGAGGAGGAAAAGACACAAGGGAUGCAUGUGAAGAGAGAGAAGGGCAUGUGAGGACACAAGGAAAAAGGACACCGUCUGCAAGCCAAGGAGAGAGCCCUCGGAAGGAACCCACCCUGACAACACCUUGACCUUGGACUUCCAGCUUCCAGAACUGUGAGAAAUACAUUUAUGUUGUUUAAGCUGCCCAGUCUGGUAUUUUGUGUGUUGCAAAUAUGUCCCCUUUCUAUCAAGGAAGAUCUGCAUUGAUGCUCUGAUCCCAAAUGUAUGUGCAACAUGAGAGAAACUGAAGAUUUGUCUGGAAGACCCAGACUUGGAUCCAAAUGGUGCAGUUGGAAUAACUUCCUUCAGGAAGAUAAUCCAUACUGAUGUGGUUUAUGGCUGACCUUUAACCACAACCUCAUGGCAUGUCUUCGUUCUCUUGAAACCUGCAGCAGAACAAGCCUCAUGCUGGAAAAGCCAUGGCUGACAUGGGCUUCUCCCCUUUGCUAAGAUUCACGAAGACCCAGAAAAUUCUACAAGUAUUUACUGAGCACUCAUCAUGCACUGGGAGUGGUGCAAGACACAAGAUAAAUAAAACUGGGGCCUCCUGCCCCUGGAGAACUUACAAGUGAAGGAUGAUGGACAUACAAGCAGCUCCACUAAGCCAGAUGGUGUUUUGCUCAAGAAACUAAAUGCUAUGGAAGUUUUAUCUGUGAGGAAUUAUAUUUCAUUACGAAUAAAAGAAGUCCUAGGGAAAAGUGGCUCAAACAAGUAAGGACUUUAUUUUUCCUAUACAACUAGAAUUCCAGAAGUUCAUGGUUGCUGGUGUUGCUUCAAGGCUUCAAAGAUGUUAGGGUCAAGGUCUUUGCAACAACUGUUUUCCCCCAGCUUUAUUAAGAUGUAAUUGAC
rnacentral:lncRNA from 10 species